UAUUUUUUAUUAAAAAUUUACACACGGCAAAUAUUGUACAGUUUUUUAGACUUAAAAAAAAAAUGUCCAAAUUAUUUUUCUUGGUUUUGUUAAUCACUCUAGCAGUGAAUUUUAUCGACGCUACGUUCCCGUUUUGGUGCAGAAAAAAUGAUCAAUCGUGCAACCCACUUCUUGGGUUUGUAUGCUGCUCUGGUCUUCGGUGCUCAAGUCUUCUCAGGGGAAUAUGUGGAUUAUAAGAGUAUUAAAUAAUAAUUUUAUUAUGAUAUUAUUUA